UCUAAGCUCUUCUCAUUAGCUUAAAAUGAAUUGGAAACCACCACCACACCCUGUUUGGAGGAACACAAUACCUUUCUGCGAGAAAAUCCUCUUGGGAGGCUCUUCUACCUCUCAAUGACCCUUUACCCUCUCUUUUAUAGUCUAGAAGUGGGUGACGGGCUGAUGCCGGAAAGACCAUUUCACAACCUCUUCCCUGGCUGUCUGUAGGCGGUCCACUACCUUGCUUUGGAAUGAGCGAUAAGAGUUUCAAGUGACUGGGGAGAGAAAAGCAGCACUGUGCUCCGUGGAUGACUGGCAAGGAGAUGUACCUCCACUUCAGGACUUCAGAGUCUAAGAGGAAAGGAUCUUCCCUUAAAUACAGAAAAUGAGUAUUUCUUACAUCUCUCUGCUUAUCUCUAUCCCCACUGCCCACCUUAGCUUUAGACCCCAUUCUCUCUUGCCCAUGUGGGGAUAAUCUCUCCAAUUAGUGAUCUGAGUGGCGACGUAUAUCCCUUCUUCUGCUGGCACCAAACUAUUUCUCUAAUAUGACUAUAUUUGUUUCCUAGGGCUGCAGAAACAAAUGAUCACAAAGAUGGUGACUCUAAACCAUAGAAUUGCAUUGUCUCAUGGUCCUGGAGCCCAGAAGCCAAAAUCAAGGUGUCCUUAGGUUUGGUUUGUUCCCCCAGAGGCUCUGAGGGAAAAAAAACCACCCCAUGCUUCUCUCCUACCUGCUACUGGCUUUGGCAAUUUUUGGUUUUGGUGACUGGUAGAAACAUAAUUCCGACCUCUGUCUUCUUCACAUGGCCUUCUCUGUGCAACUCGGUCCCAAAUCUCCUUCUCCUUGCCCUUGUAAGGACACUGGUCAUUGGAUUUGGACCCACUAUCUAAGUCCAAAACUAUAUCAUUUCAAGAUCCUUCACUAAAUUAGGUGUGCAAAGACCCUAUUUCCAAAUAAGGGCACAUUCACAGCUAUACGGGUUAGGACUUGGAUGUAUCUUUGGGGUGGAGGAGGAGCACCAUUCAGCCACCAUCCCAAAGGGCUUCUCCUGUACAGCCUCCUCCAACCUCCAAACCAUAAGACUGAGAAUGCUUCUGGAAGACUGGGAUAUACCCUGGCAGACUAUUUAUCUUGCACAGACUAGGUGACUGAGAAUGGAGAGCAGAGAACACGGAGUAAAGAAACCUCAAUCCUGGAAGGAGGAGCAUGAGACAGCAUGUGGAGGCAGACUCAAGUGAGAGCCAACAGCCACUAGCAGGCAACUCCUCCCAAGUAGGCAAUCUAUGUAGGCUGAGCCUCAUUCAUGCUCUGGAAACCCUGCCAGGACAAAUACAGAUACACACACAGACAUGCACACACAGUGCACACACAAACUUUCCACACAUACACAAAACCCACUGUAUAAUGACCUUGGAUUGGAGGUAGGGCUCUGGCACGCUUACAGUAUGAUAGUGACAAGAAGACAAAGCCUGGCUCCUUGGCUAAAGUGAAAUUUGCACCCUGUGUGCCUUAAUAACACAAAGCCUACCUUUCCCUGAUCUCCUAGCUAUGCCAUUCAUUCCACACAGUGUCCAAUGGGGAUUUUUCUAAAAAGUCAAAUCUGACCUCAAUGUCACUCUGGUUUAAAUCUGUCAGGGACUUCUUAGAGCCUUCAGAAUAUAAUCCUGUCAAGUUCUAACUACACAGACUACUCACAGUUUUCCUGAAUAGACUCCACUUGCCACCACACUCCUGCACACGGUGCUUCUUCAGCUGGGGGUUUGCUUCCAUUUUCUUCACUCCUAACCCACCCAGAACCUAUAUCUACUCAUCAUGAGAGCUUUUACCUUUAGGUGUAGAGGGAGGUGGGCAAUUUGGAUGAGUGGCACAGUAUGCCCAGACUGACCAUCAUCAUGCAAGUUGGUCCAUGGUCUGGGCGUCAUGGUGUGCAUACUGCCCGGCCAGAUCGCCCCUGUCCUGGGAAGCUCUCCCUACACCAAAGGCUGGUUUCCUUGCAGCUGCCAUGUGCACAUUGCUACCAGCCCUCAUUACAACUCCAUGAGACCGUGGCCACUUGAGAGCAGUCAUCUGGAUCUAUUUGUUAUUGUGUUCAUGAUGCCUGAGACAAAGUCAGCAUUUCUUAUGGUUAGGUACCUGGAAAGUGAGCAAUAACCUCCCAGCUGCUUCCUCAUUCUCCACCAAGUAACAGUGGUGCCUACAACCCCUGUUGGACAGCACUAGGGAGAAUUGGAAAUGGUCCCUGUGCCCUCAGCUCCUUGGACUCUAGCAGCAGAGGGUGCGUCAGCAUAUCGAUCUUCUAUGGCCUAUGAUCCAGCCUCAGACACCAUCAUCUACACCCACAACUCCAGGUCUGAAGAUUAAAAGAGAUCAUCUCCUGCAGAUUCCCAUACAUUCCUUGAAGAUGGCCAGCACUCAAGUCAGGAAAGCUUCCUUUCCUCCUCUAUAACCAGGUCAGUCCCAGGGAAGGCAGAGAUCAGCAAAUGACCAAGAGACCUCUGAAGAGAGCUAAAUGGAGUCUCUCAUGUCAGGCAGGAGCCUGCAGCAAGCAAUGAAGCAAGCAGUUAAGGAAUCGCAGCUAGGAGGUAUCGCUGGGCCCAGCAUCAGCUGACAGCCCAGAACUGAUAAGGAGCCGAACCAGAGGAGGUCUGUGAGGGCCUGAGAUGCAUUAAAUCCCUUUAAAAAGGAGAGGAUUUGGGCAGCAAACUGUCAGACUCUUUAGGCCUGACCCCUCUAUGUCUGACCACUUUUUUAAAAGCCAACUAGUGCCGAAGGCUCUGCCCAAGGUUUCUCCGAACAGAACCGAGAUCCUUCCCUGCUUGAACAGGAGCAGCAGUAAGUGCCCAGAGCUGACCUGGCCCAGACAGCAGCCGGAUCUCAGCUGCCCGCCCAGAGGCCGACUUCUUGUUGGGUUCAUUAACUUCUGCACCCUCUUUGAUCCUGUUUGUUGUGUGGCUUGUCUUCCGUCCUGCUCUGUGUGCGGUGUAAGAAGCCAAGUUUAACCACAUGGGGAAAUGGCCUUGAGUUUGGAAUCCUGAGCCUGCUUUAUAAUUGUGAUUUAACUUUGCUUAAUGAUUGAAUAAAGCUGACUUUGUGGAAAGACACAGCUUCCAUAGCGCUUCCAUGUGCGCUUCCAUAGCAUGCUCAUGACAGCCUCCAAGACCUCCUACAUCACCUUCUCACUCGUUGGGUCAAAAUUUUGCUCAGAGCUCCCUGGCUUCGCAGAGUGACAGAACCAGAGCCACUUCUCUGACAUCCAAACUGGAUUUCUCCUCUAACCUGGUUUCACAUCAUGUGCCAGUCAGCUCUAAGGAUGGCUACAACUGUCUCCUCGGAGGGCUUCUGAGAUUAUUGCCCCACCUUGCCAAUGAGUCCUUCUGAUCAAGAUCUUUUCUUGUCUUCCAUUAAUGUGGUGACACCAUGCUCUUCUCGGUUGAACAGAUAAGUGAAGGGCAUUCUUUGUGUGAAUGGGACUGCCCUUCCAGCUUUGCCCACAGAUCCUUCUCCUAUCCUUGUUGGUGGUAAUUUAUGGAAAGAAAUGAUGAAGUCAACACUGAAAAGAUCAUAUUCUAGAAAUGUGGUAAUGUAGCCUAAAAAGUUCAAGAGAAGACAUUAUUGGAAGACGUUUUCGACAUUUAUGCUAUGAAAUUCCAAACGAUACGUUUAACAUGACCAGAAAAUGAGUAAUCACUCACAAUUUCCCUCGUACUCUGCCUGAGACUUAUAUUUGUGGUCAUCAACAAAGCAUGGUAACAACCUUUGAGAGAGUCAUUGGAAAACAGUAUUCAUGGGCAGCUUGAUGGAUGUUGCUACAUCAUGAGUAAUGAUGCAAACAUCAUUAAAUCAUUGAUAUCAGGGAAUUGUAAAGGUCAGAACAGCUAUAUUGUUUCAAUACUGAGAGGUUCUGAAGAGCCAUAGCAUCGUAAGAAAUUGGCCAGGAAUGGUGCAUUUGACAGUAAAGAGCACAAAAGAAUGAUUCCUGGAUCUAGACAGCUGUAUCUUAGAGAACUAACAAAGGGGCAAGAAGGAAAGUGAUGAAGAAGAGGAGAAGGAGAAGUGGCAACCCAUAGAAGCAGAAGCAGAACAGCAGAACCUACAAGAUGUCAAGAGGUGAUCUUGGUACAGGGUACAGCAGAAGUAACAAGCAACAGCCAGAAUCUGUAGACCAUCUCCAUCCCUGCUCCUAAGUCUCUUUAGUCAUUGCCUUCAAAGGGACAGGAAGAAGUGUGAAAAGCAGGGGCCUGUGGAAGCCUGGGACUUCUUGGUUUUGUUUUCCAAGAAGAUUUUAUCAAUUGAGGAAAUUAGGGCUUGAGGAGCAAGGGCAAGGCCAUCUGGGGAAAGAGAAAUACCCAAAAUACUCUUAUGGUCUAGGAGCAGGCUGGAAGUAAAGGGAAGGGCCACACUUGAAUUUAUUGCCAGUAUCAGAGGUUGGAAGGGAAAAGGACCCAGCCAAGGACACUUAGAAGAAACACCCAGUGUCGGAGAAGGAAAUCAGGAUGUGACUUCCUGGAAGCCAAAGGAAAAACAGGGGCUUAACAAGGAGUGAGUCAUCAAGUGUUUGAAAAGCUGCCAAGACAUUAGGUAAAACAAAACCUGGAGAUUUUCCACUGGAUUUGGCAUCUUCUUCUGUGUUUCCUCCUAUGUGAUAGAAUCAGAUUGAGUCCUGGUGACACCAAAAGCCAAUCCUCCCAGCUCAGGGAGACUGCUGCAUGGAUAUAAUGGCUGGAGAUAUCUGGUAGCCAUCCUGACAGCACAAGAACAGUGAACAUACUCUAAAGAAGGUGGACAGAGAAGCUGGACAGAGCCCAGAUUGCCCAAUAACACUAUGGGGCCUCCAUGCCAGUCUUGGACAAUUUACCUUUUGAUUUUCUUCUUGUAGAAAUAUAUAGAUUUACUGUCUCA